GACGAACGCUGGCGGCGUGCUUAACACAUGCAAGUCGAACGAAGUGGCGAACGGGUGAGUAAUACGUGGGUAACCUGCCCUCCUUUUUGGGAUAAGCCUUGGAAACGGGGUCUAAUACCGAAUAAAGGGGUAUGGGCUCGCGGCCUAUCAGGUUGUUGGUGGGGAGAUGGGCGACCAAGGCGGUGACGGGUCGCCGGCCUGAGAGGGUGACUGGGCACAUUGGGACGGCGAUACCGCCCAGAGUCGGAAGCGGGGGGGAAGUGGGGGAUAUUGCACGAUGGGCGAAAGCCUGAUGCAGCGACGCUGCGGGGGGGAUGAGGGCUUUCGGGUUGUAAAGCUCUUGCGCUAUAGAACGGGUAGGUGGAGAAGAAGCGCCGGCUAACUACGUGCCAGCCGCCGCGGUAAUAC
rnacentral:rRNA from 1 species